rnacentral:rRNA from 1 species
AUUGAACGCUGGCGGCAGGCCUACCACAUGCAAGUCGAGAGAGCGGCGGACGGGUGAGUAAUGUCUGGGAAACUGGUUGAUGGAGGGGGAUAACUACUGGAAACGGUAGCGAAUCCUGCAUACCAUCUGAUGUGACCAGAUGGGAUUAGCUAGUAGGUGGGGUAAUGGCCCACCAAGGAGUCGUUCCCUAGAUGGUCAGAGAGGAUGAUCAGCCCCACUGGAACUGAGGCACGUUCCAGACUCCUACGGGAGGCAGCAGUGGGGAAUAUUGCACAAUGGGCGCAAGCCUGAUGCAGCCAUGCCGCGUGUGUGAAGACGGCCUUCGGGUUGUAGAGCACUUUCAGCGGGGAGGCGUUACCCACAGAAGAAGCACCGGCUAACUCCGGGCCAGCAGCCGCGGUAAUUC